rnacentral:rRNA from 1 species
GUGGGGAAUCUUCCGCAAUGGACGAAAGUCUGACGGAGCAACGCCGCGUGAGUGAUGAAGGUCUUCGGAUUGUAAAGCUCUGUUAAUCGGGACGAAAGAGCCUAGUGUGAAUAAUGCUAGGAAGUGACGGUACCGGAAUAGAAAGCCACGGCUAACUACGUGCCAGCAGCCGCGGUAAUACGUAGGUGGCAAGCGUUGUCCGGAAUUAUUGGGCGUAAAGCGCGCGCAGGCGGAUCUGCCAGUCUGUCUUAAAAGUUCGGGGCUUAACCCCGUGAUGGGAUGGAAACUACAGGUCUAGAGUAUCGGAGAGGAAAGUGGAAUUCCUAGUGUAGCGGUGAAAUGCGUAGAUAUUAGGAAGAACACCAGUGGCGAAGGCGACUUUCUGGACGAAAACUGACGCUGAGGCGCGAAAGCCAGGGGAGCGAACGGGAUUAGAUACCCCUGUAGUCC